rnacentral:lncRNA from 1 species
UUCUGAGGAAUAAACCUUAUUCCAUGGGUGGGGGAGAAUUAAAUUAAUGGGUUAUUCUAGUGAAAAACUGAAAUAACCUGCUUUGACCGGUAUAAAUUAUUUUGCUAAUUUUUUUCCCAUAUAAUUCGAAGAAGGAAACGACAAUUUGAUUAUUCCACAGUUAUUUCGUUACCAGACAGAGCCUAAAAGAAUAAAGUUCAGAUUUAUUGCGGUCUCCUAU